CAACCAAUGAACGUGGCCUAGGAAGAGGCCUCAGUGCUCAUUGAAUUCCGCAGUCUCUUCCAACAGCAUAUCGGCAUGGGUGCCGGGAGUCAAACCCCCACCAGUCCGAUAUUGAUGACCUAUCCUGAGGAUAGGUCAUCAGUAUUAAACACUCAGACUACCCCUUUAAACAGGAGCUGUCGCCUCUCCUAACAUGUCAGCUGUAGGAGUGAUUUGCAACCCCAGUGCAGUAAUAAAAUCUGGAGCAUCUCUUCUUACAACUGUGUUUUCUCCCAUUUCACAACAUACAGUUACCCGGCAUCACUGAUUAGAGCGUGCUCCACUGUGCAGGGACGCACUUCUAGUAGGAAUAAUAGAGGAGUGGCUCAACAUAGAAUGGUCAUUUCAUAUGGAAUACAAUUUUUUACUGAAACAGACAAGUCAGGAGAGGUGACAGUCCUCUUUUAAAAUCAGCUAAUUUGAAAAUGAAUCAAAAAGAUAAUGUUCUAAGUAUCAAUUUGUAUACAUGGCGAACAAUUUCCUAACUAUUGUUAAUAAGGCUUCAUGCACUCGACUGUAUCCAUUACUAGAAAUGACUAUUCUUGUCCUUAAUACAGACAAGAAUACGACUUGUUCUAUAAUUUGCAGGAUGGACAUACGGAUGCGGGCAGCACACGGAUAGCAUCAGUUUGCUGUCUGUUUUUUGCACCCCCAUAGAAAUAAAUGGGUCUCUGUGCCAUCCACAAAAAAUGCAGAUUGAACACGGAUACAAAAUAUGGUCGUGUGUAUGAGGCCUAAGGAUGGUUAGUACUAAGCUAGGGUUUCCUCUGUAAGUUCAUCGCAACGUGCCUUAUGCUGGCCGUACAUUAGGAGUUUCAGACGUCCAUUUUUUUUUUUUAUGACUUCCAUGCUUGGUCUGUGAAGUUAACGCCAUCAGUUAAAACUGAGAAAUCACAGGUUAAACUCUGCUGUAAUGUGUGUAGUCUGGGCUUCCAUUGAUAGGAUGUAGAUCUGUUAUUGGGAUGGAUGACUUUCCAGGUAGAGGACCUGACAAAGACCAAAAAAUCUAACGUAUCAGAUCAACUUUUCAACAGAUUUCUGCCAUCGGUCAUCAUCCGUCAUGCUCAUUUGUGCCAUUAAAGGUGCGGAUGGUCGCCAGACAUUGGUUUCAUUCUUCUUUUUCGGCUGUCCAAAGUCUCUAGUUUAUGGCCUGCUUUAAUUUAUUUAAUAUAUAAUCGAAAACUCGUAUUUUCUGUUUUCUCUAAGGGAAUAAUAUAAUAUUCACUCUGUCAGGCUACAUGCACACGACCGUAUGUAUUUUGCAAUCCCCAAAAAUAAGGAUGACGUCCAUGUGAUAUCCGUGUUGCAUCCAUUUU